rnacentral:rRNA from 1 species
GAUAAACGCUGGCGGCGUGCAUGAGACAUGCAAGUCGAACGAUUAAACUUUCCUUCGGGAAAGAUAUAAAGUGGCGCACGGGUGAGUAACACGUAAGUAAUCUACCCUCGAGUGGGGAAUAACGUCCGGAAACGGACGCUAAUACCGCAUAAUGCAGCGGCACCGCAAGGUGACAGUUGUUAAAGAUUUAUCGCUUGAGGAGGAGCUUGCGGCAGAUUAGCUAGUUGGUAAGGAAUGGCUUACCAAGGCUACGAUCUGUAACCGGUCUAAGAGGACGGUCGGUCACACUGACACUGAAUAACGGGUCAGACUCCUACGGGAGGCAGCAGUCGGGAAUUUUGGGCAAUGGGCGAAAGCCUGACCCAGCAAACGCCGCGUGAAGGAUGAAGUAUUUCGGUAUGUAAACUUCGAAAGAAUGGGAA